rnacentral:rRNA from 1 species
GACGAGCCUCACAAACGUUAUUCGGAAUUACUGGGCUUAAAGGGUGCGUAGGCGGUGCGGAAAGUUGGGUGUGAAAUCCCUCGGCUCAACCGAGGAAUUGCGCUCAAAACUACCCGUGCUCGAGGGAGAUAGAGGAGCGCGGAACUUAGGGUGGAGCGGUGAAAUGCGUUGAUAUCCGUAGGGAACACCGGUGGCGAAAGCGGCGCUCUGGAUCUCAUCUGACGCUGAUGCAACGAAAGCUAGGGUAGCGAACGGG